UUAAAAAAUUUUCAGAUGUUC
rnacentral:piRNA from 1 species